AUACUUGUGUUCAUAAGCAUGAUGAUUCGGUGUCCAUCCCAUUGUGUGAUGUGGUUUCCCUCAAACCUUGUUAGCACUUCGGCACAUACAAUAAGUCUGGUG
rfam:Cavia porcellus supercont2_11 genomic scaffold, whole genome shotgun sequence.